AUUGGGGACACAUGGGAAUAAAGGGAAGUGGACUAAUGUCAGAGCCCUGGGGAGAGUAGUGAAGGGGAACCCAGCCGACAAGACUGAGAAGGAGCCAUAGAAGGAAAGCAAGGAGAGAGUCUAAGCCAGAAGCUGAAGGAUGAAAACACAAAGAAGAGGGACUGCUCCUCAGGGCCCCAUGUCACAGAAAAGUGAAAGGGAUGGUCUCCUUACGGGACAACUGGAAACACACACACACCCGCACAAGGCUAUAAGAUCGGCCUCUCUUCCCAUGCCAGUCUAAGAAAAGUGGAAUUCUAAAGAGGUUUACAGGUUUGCAAGAGGCCUCAGCAUCUGUCAGUGGAGAAGCCAGAAAUCAGACCCUGGACCCCCAGCCAUGGAUCCGAUCACUUCUUCCUUCCUUCUUUCCACACUUCUUGUAUAUACCUUCUGCAUAUCAGUCACACAGCAAUAACCUGGAUGGGGCGCCUGCUGGAGGUACUGAGAAAGGGAAGUCACCGGUCACCAGGUGGUCACACGGUGACAGUGACAAUGUUACGACUAACUAACCAGUCAGCUCCAGGGAGGCAGAAGAGGGUCUGUGCUGGGUUCUGCCCAGGAGAACUGGGAACCACUCUGUGCUUGCCCGGCACUCAUCACAGUGGGAGAGUGAGCCAUGGUUUGCAGCCCAGUCCUGAUGCUGGCCUCGGAAGGGGCCAUCCCCAUGGGCCUCACUCUGUGCCUCUGGACUCCAGCUUCCCCAUCCCCCCAUCCCUGGCGUGUCCCCAGACAUCCAGGAGGCCCCGGCUUCGAUUCUUUCCCAGAACCUUUGCUGCAGGGGCUCAGAACCCAGGAAGCCUCCCUGUACCACUGGGCCCUGGGGUGCGGGGGAUUCAGGGAUUGGGUAUUAAGCUGAGAAGUGCACACUUGCUUCCCUUUUAGUCUUAGCUACUGGAUAGGGCUGCUCGGGUCUCUGGGAGAGUUUUAUUCCCUUCCCUCCAUGUCAUUCAUGAGUUUUCUUUCUAAUUUUGUUUUUAACAAAAUAUGUAGGUUAUUUUUCUCAGCUCUAAUCUGUUCCCAUCAAAGCUGUUGAAAAUAUAUAUAUAUAUUUUUUUAUUCCGUUAUGGUAAAUGUCAUGAGGUGAAAAUGUCAUCUCAACAGCUGGCCCCAGAGUUCCUCUUAAGGCAAGAACUAUUCUUGUUUGGGGAAAAUACUUUGACAAGCACCUUGGGGAAGAAGAUGAGACUGACAGAAACCACUGGCUGAAUGGACCUACAAGAAAACGAUGAGAAUUUGCUCACUCUGGAAAAGAAGGGGCGGAGUAUAAAGCCAAGGGAAGGGGACUGGAUGGAGAGAAAGCAGGAGAAUUAAGAGUAAGCCUAGGUCUAGACAGUGAAAUUCCUCACAGCAGGGUGGAGUCCAGAUCCCAACCCCAGAGAUGGUUUUGUGCCAGGAAAUUGCAAGAACAGGGAUGCCUAACAUUCAACUCAAAAGUGUUUCAUUGCUGUGGUGUAAACCCAUCCAUCUCCCCAAAGAACUUCGGCAAACUGUGUCACAUUCAUGCACCUUUGAGCGGGAUAUUUUUUAAGAACUAGUUUCUUGUCUAAAUCAUGUCAUGGAGAAUGAAGUGUUUGUGAGAUGCACUGCCCUUACUCCCUGGAAACCUGCAAAAAUCUUUGGCUUAACUCUGGACUUCUGCAAAAGAGUUGUGGUUUGAGGAGGCCCAAGUUGACGUGCUAUUUCACAUAAACGCUAAACAAUUAAACAAGUGACUGAGGGCACUGAGCCAAGAAUCUAACUGGA